GUCCACGCCGUAAACGAUGUCUACUAGUUGUCGGUUGUCUUGUACGACGGGUAACGCAGCUAACGCGAUAAGUAGACCGCCUGGGGAGUACGGCCGCAAGGUUAAAACUCAAAUGAAUUGACGGGGGCCCGCACAAGCGGUGGAGCAUGUGGUUUAAUUCGAAGCAACGCGAAGAACCUUACCUGGCCUUGACAUCCUGCGAACUUUCUAGAGAUAGAUUGGUGCCUUCGGGAACGCAGAGACAGGUGCUGCAUGGCU
rnacentral:rRNA from 1 species